AGGAUAAACGCUGGCGGCGUGCCUAACACAUGCAAGUCGAACGCGCUUUCGGGCUUCGGUGCGAGAGCGAGUGGCGGACGGGUGAGUAACACAUGGGUACCUGCCUUUCAGUGAGGGAUACCGGCGAGAAAUCGCCGACAAUACCGCAUGGGCUUGUGGGAACACAAGCAAAGUGGCGCAAGCCACGCUGGAAGAUGGGCCUGUGGCCGAUUAGCUAGUUGGGGGGGUAACGGCCUCCCAAGGCGACGAUCGGUAGCUGGUCUGAGAGGACGAUCAGCCACACUGGGAUUGAGAACGGCCCAGACUCCUACGGGGGGCAGCAGUGAGGAAUUUUCCGCAAUGGACGAAAGUCUGACGGAGCAACGCCGCGUGCAGGAGGAAGUUUUCGGAUCGUAAACUGCUUUUCUCGGGGACGAGCAAGGACGGUACCCGAGGAAGAAGCCCGGCUAACUACGUGCCAGCAGCCGC
rnacentral:rRNA from 1 species